GAGAAGAAGGAGACGAAGGAGAAGAAGGAGAAGGAGAAGAAGGCGGCCAUAGGAUAAAGUCAAGGGUAGGGCAAACUCUGUGAAUGAGCAUGUACCUUUUCUUCAUGGAUUUAUGAAGACUGGCUUUUCUAAGCCCCUGGCAAGCCCUCAAGAGCAUGCUGAAGGCCGUUGGGGAUGGAGGUGGAAUGAUGGGGAAAUGGAGGACCGCUGUGGCUGGGUUGCUUUCGUCCGUGGGUACCCUGGAGCUUGGUGGGCAGUGAAUGGGUGCCUCUGGCUUGUGUUCCAGCAGCUCCAGUGGGAGGUGAGCUGUAGCAAACACGGGAAGGAGGGUACAUCUGCGUCCCCCCUGGUAUCAUGUGGUCCAACGCCAUGCCCACCAAACACAAAAGCAAGCAGCCGUGGAAUCUUGACUGGGUUCGUGUGAUCUGUGGAGACGGUCAAACUGUGUGAUUAUAGUUCCCAAUUAGACUUUUGUUUUGGACCCAAGGAUAAUUUAGAUUUCCUGUUAUACACGAUGAGGAGUCCAUGCAGAUUUGUAGCAGGGGUUGAUAUGAUUUGAUUUAUAUUUAGAACACAAGUAGUGAGCCAGUUAGGAUUGGGCCAGGAGACUAAAGGCUCAUAGCAAUUUGAACAGGGAAAAUUUAAUACCGCAUACAAAUUAUUAGCUAGUUAAAGGGUAUUACCUCCUAAGACGUGUAAAGAGAGCUAUCAAGAAUACAGGAAUAAGAUGUAGGGAGCAGUCAUUUCUUACAGGGCCAAGGGAGCAUGCAUGCUAGGAACAGACUUGGAGGAGGCAUCCCUCCCCACUGCCAAGGCUGGGAUUCAUCUAGUGUGGACCAGGGAAAGGCAGAGAAGUUCACGGAGGUGAUGCAGGCUGGGCCGGUGAGCAGAAGCCACCUGCGGGAGUGGGGACGGAACUCGUGGGAGGGUUUGCUUCGCAGACCUCCAGCGCACCACUGGCAAAGGAGUGGCCCGUAGGGAAGGAAGCUACGUGCAGUGCUUGGUAGGAAGAAAAACUCUGGAACCAGGGAGGCAAGACUCUUGUCUUGCAGUCUCCCUCUAGCGCCCUCUACUGACAAGGCUGGCACCGUGCCUCCUCGCAAAAGAGAAACAUUUACUUGGGUUCAGCUCCAGUAUCUCCAAGAAGGGCAGGGAAGGGUGUAUUUGGAGCUUAGAGACAAUAAAUCUGCAGGUGUACAGGUAGUGAAGUAAAGGUGGACUUGAAGAGAGGAGAGUCUGGAGGCUAUAGUUAGGCGGGGUGGGGGAAAGGAAGAUGAAGUGGACAGACUGACGCUCUGCCCUUGAUCCUGAGACAGAGCUUGAGACAGUGUGGAUGGCAGGGAGGAGGAUUAGACUGGUACGGAGGGGGCUGAAUAGGUAGGACUCUGUGGCUGAUGAGAUGCAGUCCAUGACAGGGAAGGCUCGCGGGUGUGCCCAGUCUUGGUGGCCUUCAUAGCUGGAAAGAAGAACAGGCUUGGGCUUAGGGGAAGAGAAUAAAUUCUGUUUUGGACAUGACUGUUUAUGGCACCUCUAGAAUAUCUGGACAAGAUUCAGAAUACCCUGGAAAAAGCACAGUGGAUUGAAAUGUGUACUGGCGGUAUGGGUUUCCACUAUUGCUACACAACUCCCACGCAAAGAGAAGGAAUCACA